CAGAAGUGGUGCUGUGACAAAAAAAUGGUAGAACACUAGCCUUGAGCAAAAGAGCUCAGGGACAGCAUCCAGGCUCCAAGUUCAAGCCCUCUCAAUGACAAAAAAAAAAAACCCAAAAAGAUUUCAUCCUUUCUGUUAUCAAGAAUACCAGCAGCAUAGACAGUAAUUCAAAUCAUGUUUCAGAUUAUGUUUGUUUUGUUACUACAGUAUCACUUCUUGUUAGCAAAAUCAAGUCUUUAUUUCAGUCUUCAUGUAUAUCAUUUUGUAGUGUCUCAUAUUACAAUAUUCUCUUAGUCUUUGUUACAAAUAAGGUCAUUUUCACCAUUAACUAUUAUGUAUUGAAUGUAUUCCCUUCAUAAAGUAGCCACUUACGUAUACUAAAUGGUUUUAAAACUUAGAAGGGUGCCAAAUGCCAAUUCAAACCACACACACACACACACACACAUAUCCAUGUACAUUUUGGACAUGGUCAGCUAAAGGCUGCUUUAAGAAGUUAUGUGUUUCCCAGUGUGAUAAAGGAAAGCGAGUUUAGACAAAGCAAAAAUUGAGAAGUAUUUCUUUCUCAAAGCAAAUGUGCAUAAAGACUCAAAGGGCAGGUCAGCACAGCAUAGCAGCCUUGAGCCACUGCCGAAUCAGCAGCGCUGUCCAUGGUCGACAUUUGUAAUCACUGUACCCAAAUGUCAGCAUCUUGGCUGGCUGGUAUAACCUUAUUAAUACUAUUUUAAAUUUAGUAGAAUACUGGAAUUUAACACAGAAUGUUAACUUAAAUUAGUGACAAUGAAGUUUUAAGUUAAUUUCUAAGUAAUUGGAAUAGAGAAACUUUUGCAUUCAAGGUAUCUUAUAAGUAAAUUUUAUAAGAAUCAGUUUUUCAAAUGGAUUGACUCUUAAUACUGAAUUAUGCUGUAGUUUUUAAGGAAAUGUGUAAUAAUAUAAAUACUAUAAAUAUCUAUUUGAAGCCAGUUUAAGAAUGUACUUUGAACUUGGAGCAGCUAGGUUCUGAAAUACCAAAAUACUCAAGGAUAAAUUAGGACCACAGGAGUAGACAAUUCCAAAGCAUUUCUUAUAGUUAAAUUCAGGAACAUAAGGAUACUUUCAUAGGUAUCUAGGUUAUACAAAAGAGAGAGAAAUAUCUUCCUUUGCUAACAUAUCUGCCAAAAGUGAGCCCUACUAAUGUUACUCUGAAGUACAUUUUAGAGGGCAGAAACAUUUUUGAGAAAUAAAGAUUUUUUUCAUUGCUGAUACACUUGGCUUUGCUUCUUGAAGAAAUGAAGAGAACAGAGUGUAUGUUUAUAUAUCAUGUAUGAAGUAUAUAGAAAUCAUUUUCCCUUGAGGCCUUAAGGAGGGGAGAAGAAACCCCGAUGUAGCAUUCUGUCCAAAUGAUAAACCACAACUAAGUGAGUGAAAUAUUUACAAAAGCCAGAGCAGCCAAAGGAGACUGUUCAAUAGGAAGGGAACAGGAAGUGGAUAGGUUAUAACUAAAUAAUGGUUAGAAUAACACAGUGGUUUCAAGUCUUAACUGGUCUCUCUUUUGUUACAUUCGUUGGAAAAUCGGGACCAAGUAUGUCCCCUACUCCCCUCCCCCCACAUAAACAUUAGUUUUGUGUGUGUAUCUUUCUGCUUUGUCCUUCAUGUGGCCUCCAGGGGUGAUAAAGCGAGAGUCAUCUGAUCUACAAUGAAGAGAACUGGGAAAUGAUUCUUAGCAGACCCAGCUGUUGUGAAAGGCAAAAGCUUAGUAUAGCAAGAGGUCAAACACACAGUAACUGGUUUAAUAGCAUUAAGCACAUGCCUACAUAACUUGGAUUACAUAUGAAACCAAUCUACUACUUAACCCUUUGCUUCCUAACUAAUAUGGGUUACUUUAUGAAAUGUUUUGGCUUAUAGCCUAAAGUUAGUUUUUGGUAACAACUGAUCAGAAGGAUUGUACCACAGAGUAUUCUUUUUUUUGUUUUGGUGUGUAGCCCAAGCCAGCCCUGAGCUUGAGACCAUCCUACCUCAGCCUCCCAAGUAUGACCACACUCAGCUAAAACUAGUUUUAAAA